ACAAGGCAGCCUGAAACCUAGGCUAAUGCUUUCUGUUUGGUGCAUUUGUUUUUGGAGCCUAAAGCUGGUUGCCCGUUCUCUCUCCACCUGGUUUCAUGGUGGUCAAGACUGAUGGUAUCUGUUUCCCUGUGAGAUUUAAGUGAUUUAUUUUAAAGGUCCAGCUCAAGGACUACUAGACUGUCUGUCCUUUGGCUUGCUUCUGCCUUCCCAGGCCUUGGAGAGCUUGGGACACCAAGAAAGGAAACCUCAUGCUUUCUUUCUAUUGGGAGGGAAGGUGCACACAAUGCAUCAACAAUGGAUGGCUUUGGAAAAACCACAAAGUUAAACUAGCCAUUAAGUCCCCAAGGUUUGCUACUCACUGCUGUCCUGCUGCUCUCUAGCCUUGUAGAACUGCAGUCUCCAUUUGAACCAGGACUGAGUACUCUUAGUGGUCAGCAUCAGUCAUGACACCCGAAAGCCGAGCAUGUCGUGAGCACUGAUCAGAGACCACUCCUUUGGCACUUCUAUAGUAGUCCCCCAAAAGUUGAAGCAGCUUUGCAGGCAGCCUGUUGCUUCCAUAGGCACAGGCCUAGUUACCUCUGGAGACGCCUAUUUGACUGGACAAGGUCAGGAACACUUUUCAGUUUAGAAUUUAAUCUGGCUCAAAUUGCUCUAUAAAAAUACUAGACUAGUUCAUAAAGUUCUGUUACUUAUGGUCCCAAUUUGAAAGGCUGAUGUAGUGAUAGGCCACAUAGCCUCCUCACAUGCACAUGGCCCCCAGGCUCCAUGGUGGGCCCAUCUUGUCCCAAACCAUCCUUUCCUACCAGCUGAGUAGCUUCUGCGGAAGAGAACAGCAGCAGAGCUGAUUCUGCAGUACACUUUGGGAACAAAUUAACUUUAAAAAAAAAACUUAAGUAAAAUCUUGGGAUUUUUGGUUCCAAAUUAUUUUAUAGUCUUUCUGAAGGAAAUGAUUGUGGACAUGUUAAGACAGUUUCCCCUUUCUAAAAGUAUUAAUGAAUAAUAACACUAACUCUAAAAACCAACCGAAGACCUAUUUACAAAUCUGGGGUGAUUGGCCUUUCCAACAGGCCUAGGGCUGUGACUCUGGGUGUGAUAGGUGUCCUGAAUCUGACAGAGAUGUUUCUUUCUGAAUAUCAACUCCAGUUUCUUCUUCCUUAAUGUGACAUAAACAAAUGAAAACUGCCCAUCUUCCAUACUACUCAGGAGCCUUGGCAUCCCAAACCAGGCAGGAGCUGCUCCCUAGUCAGCACACACCCGUGUGUAUGCUUCUGCAGAGUGGCAGCAGCCCAGGAUCCACAGCCAGUGUCCACAGUAGCACUGGCCUAGGAGAAUGUGGAACCACAGCACUUCAGACCUAGGCACCUGUAGGGCAGUGCAUCUGGCACGAGUGAGGAGGACCCAGGUGCCAGUUCCUAAGGAACAGCCUGGCACUAGUAUGUAAGGACUCCUUGGGUCUCAGGCAGGCACACUCAGGUUGGCUUUUCUGAGGACUUCCAAGUGAUACCUGAUGAUGUGUGACCUCCAGAGCUACCUAAUUUUCAAGAGUUAAAGGAAAAAAAUGUUUUAAAGUUAAUGCAAACACCUGUCAGUUGCCAAAUAACUUCAGCUGAUAACUGUUAGAAUAAAAUGCUGUGUCCAUGUGUAUCAUGGUGUCACUGUAUCCUGUUGAGAUGUGAAAUGCCCUAUCAGAAAUUAAAUAAGUUUAAAUGUGCCAAUUGGUGUCUAAACUUCAUACAAUAUAAAGUCAGGUUCCUUUUAGGAAUGCUGGGUGCUGUCACUAGGUCUGAUAGUGAAGGCUUAAAAACUUGAAGUUUGGGGGGAGGGGGGAGUUAAUACUGAAAUAUAGAUGAGAAUUACCAGUUGGGGAAGAAUAGCAUUUAAAGUGGAAAAUCGUGUUUGGAAAACUGUAAUGAGUAUUUUUUUAUUAAAAAACUUUAAAGGCC
rnacentral:lncRNA from 1 species